rnacentral:rRNA from 1 species
AGUCGAACGGAGAACAUUGAGCUUGCUUAAUGUUCUUAGUGGCGGACGGGUGAGUAACACGUGAGUAACCUGCCCCUGAGAGUGGGAUAGCUUCUGGAAACGGAUGGUAAUACCGCAUAACAUCAUGGAUUCGCAUGUUUCUAUGAUCAAAGAUUUAUCGCUCAGAGAUGGACUCGCGUCUGAUUAGAUAGUUGGUGAGGUAACGGCCCACCAAGUCGACGAUCAGUAGCCGGACUGAGAGGUUGACCGGCCACAUUGGGACUGAGACACGGCCCAGACUCCUACGGGAGGCAGCAGUGGGGAAUAUUGCACAAUGGGGGAAACCCUGAUGCAGCGAUGCCGCGUGGAGGAAGAAGGUUUUCGGAUUGUAAACUCCUGUCGAAGAGGACGAUAAUGACGGUACUCUUCAAGAAAGCUCCGGCUAACUACGUGCCAGCAGCCGCGGUAAUACGUAGGGAGCGAGCGUUGUCCGGAAUUACUGGGUGUAAAGGGAGCGUAGGCGGGAUGGCAAGUCAGAUGUGAAAACUAUGGGCUCAACCCAUAGACUGCAUUUGAAACUGUUGUUCUUGAGUGAGGUAGAGGUAAGCGGAAUUCCUGGUGUAGCGGUGAAAUGCGUAGAGAUCAGGAGGAACAUCGGUGGCGAAGGCGGCUUACUGGGCCUUUACUGACGCUGAGGCUCGAAAGCGUGGGGAGCAAACAGGAUUAGAUACCCUGGUAGUCCACGCCGUAAACGAUGAUUACUAGGUGUGGGGGGACUGACCCCUUCCGUGCCGCAGUUAACACAAU